GGAAACCUUGUUACGACUUCUUUUUCCUCUAAGUGCUAAGGUUUGUUUAAUUUCUAAUUUUGCAACUAUCAAGAAGACUCACCUGAACACUCAAUCGGUAAAAGCGAC
rnacentral:rRNA from 1 species